rnacentral:rRNA from 1 species
AACGAACGCUGGCGGCAUGCCUAACACAUGCAAGUCGAACGAGACCUUCGGGUCUAGUGGCGCACGGGUGCGUAACGCGUGGGAACCUGCCCUUAGGUUCGGAAUAACUCCCCGAAAGGGGUGCUAAUACCGGAUAAUGUCUUCGGACCAAAGAUUUAUCGCCUUUGGAGGGGCCGGCGUUGGAUUAGCUAGUUGGUAGGGUAAAAGCCUACCAAGGCGACGAUCCAUAGCUGGUCUGAGAGGAGGAUCAGCCACACUGGGACUGAGACACGGCGCAGACUCCUACGGGAGGCAGCAGUGGGGAAUAUUGGACAAUGGGCGAAAGCCUGAUCCAGCAAUGCCGCGUGAGUGAUGAAGGCCUUAGGGUUGUAAAGCUCUUUUAACCGGGAUGAUAAUGACAGUACCGGGAGAAUAAGCGCCGGCUAACUCCGUG